AAUCUUGCUAUCUUCUGCUCCAGGCUGGAGGCAGAGAGUAGAGCAUCCACAAAAGACCAGGAAGAAAAUGAGAUGACUGAGCAUGAGUGAAGCAACUUGGCGAAGAGUCCAAUAGAAGGGAUGCUCUGGGGUCUGAGAGUGUGGAGUUGCCAUCGCUAAGAGGGCAGAGUGACAUGGAUCAGAAGUGCUGGGCAACACAAGUCAUUGUUUGAGAGGCAACUUCUACUGAGAUCAACCCCUGGCUAUGCUGGCUGCUUAUACGAUGAAGAAAAGGAAAGUUUCUGAUCUUCACGCCAGAGCCAGAUGUCCUGAUUA
rnacentral:lncRNA from 1 species